rnacentral:rRNA from 1 species
AUUGAACGCUGGCGGCAGGCCUAACACAUGCAAGUCGAGCGAGCGGCGGACGGGUGAGUAAUGUAUGUGGAUCGGCCCGAUAGAGGGGGAUAACUACUGGAAACGGUGGCUAAUACCGCAUACUAUCGGAUGAACCCCUAUGGGAUUGGCUAGUAGGGUGGGUAAAGGCUCAACGAGGCGACGAUCUCUAGCUGGUCCGAGAGGAUGAUCAGCCACACUGUGACUGAGGCACGGCCCAGACGCCUACGGGAGGCAGCGGUGGGGAAGAUUGCACAAUGGGCGCAAGCCUGAUGCAGCCAUGCCGCGUGUAUGAAGAAGGCCUUAGGGUUUUAAAGUACUUUCAGCGGGGAGGCGUUACCCGCAGAAGAAGCACCGGCUAACUCCGUGCCAGCAGCCGCGGUAAUUC